GAUGAAGAACGUAGCGAAAUGCGAAAAGUAAUGUGAAUUGCAGAAUUCAGUGAAUCAUCGAAUCUUUGAACGCACAUUGCGCCCGCCAGUAUUCUGGCGGGCAUGCCUGUCUGAGCGUCAUUUCAACCCUCAUGCCCCUAGGGCGUGGUGUUGGGGAUCGGCCAGCGCCCGCGAGGGACGGCCGGCCCCUAAAUCUAGUGGCGGACCCGUCGUGGCCUCCCCUGCGAAGUAGUGAUAUUCCGCAUAGGAGAGCGACGAGCCCCUGCCGUUAAACCCCCAACUUUCUAAGGUUGACCUCAGAUCAGGUAGGAAUACCCGCUGAACUUAAGCAUAUCAAAAGCGGAGGA
rnacentral:misc_RNA from 1 species